rnacentral:rRNA from 1 species
CCUACGGGUGGCAGCAGUCGAGAAUUUUUCUCAAUGGGGGAAACCCUGAAGGAGCGACGCCGCGUGGAGGAUGAAGGUCUUCGGAUUGUAAACUCCUGUCAUUGGUGAACUAGUAGCCGAAGAGGAAGGGACGGCAAACUCUGUGCCAGCAGCCGCGGUAAUACAGAGGUCCCAAGCGUUGUUCGGAUUUAUUGGGCGUAAAGGGAGCGUAGGCGGCAGGGUAAGUCAGGUGUUAAAAUUCGGCGCUCAACGCCGAAGCGCAUUUGAUACUGCCUUGCUAGAGGAGUGGAGAGGAGACAGGAAUUCACGGUGUAGCAGUGAAAUGCGUAGAUAUCGUGAGGAAGACCCAUGGCGAAAGCAUGUCUCUGAACUACCUGACGCUGAUGCUCGAAGGCCAGGGGAGCAAACGGGAUUAGAUACCCCAGUAGUC